rnacentral:rRNA from 1 species
CCCUUAGAUGUUCUGGGCCGCACGCGCGCUACACUGAUGCAUUCAACGAGUUUCUUCCUGGUCCGAGAGGAAUGGGUAACCUUUUGAAAGUGCAUCGUGAUAGGGAUAGACUAUUGCAAUUAUUGAUCUUCAACGAGGAAUUCCUAGUAGACGUAGUUCAUCAGACUGCAUCGAUUACGUCCCUGCCCUUUGUACACACCGCCCGUCGCUCCUACCGAUUGAAUGCUCAGGUGAGCCAUUCGGACUUUCAUCAUGCUGGUUUCCAGUUUUGAUGAAGGAAAGUCUUGCGAACCUUAUCAUUUAGAGGAAGGAGGAGUCGUAACA